rnacentral:lncRNA from 1 species
ACGUGAUCAAGUCAGCAAGAACCACAGUUAUUGUUUGAUGGCUCUCAUUUCUCUGAAAGGACACAGGGUAUGUUGUGGUAAUGGGAGUAUUAGAAACCACAGAAAGGUUAGGGAGGAACCAAGACAGCAUCACAGAGCAGCACAGACUGCUCCAGCAAGUACGUCAUUCAGUCCUCAGAGCAGAAAUGGCCAAAGGACGCUUUACAUGCUGGAAAUGAAGCCACCGCUUCCUAGCUGUGGGAGCCUGAGACGCUCAAGGCAAGAGGACCCACAGCCAGCAAGACUGAAACAAAAAGCAAAGGAGGUGCCCGUUCUGGAGGCGCGGCGUCUGGACGAACUAAUUGAGUUGUGGCGGUCCCCAAAAUGAAAAGAAUUUUUGUUAGAUUAUUGCUAUUCCUUAGCACCCACUAUAUGCCGGAUACAUACCACAGGAGGCCAGUUCAUAGCUUUGUCUCAUUUAAUCCUCUGAACAACUCUUCAAGGUAAGAGAUUACUUCUACUUUUUCCAGCUAAGGAAACAGAAACUUAAGGGUGUAACUAAGGUGUCGUGGGCAGAAACUGG